rnacentral:rRNA from 1 species
UACGUAGGGUCCGAGCGUUGUCCGGAUUCAUUGGGCGUAAGAGCUCGUAGGCGGCCACUCAAGUCGAAUGUGAAACCUCGAGGCUUAACCUCGAGCCUGCAUUCGAUACUGGGCGGCUAGAGUCUGGUAGGGGAUCGUGGAAUUCCUGGUGUAGCGGUGGAAUGCGCAGAUAUCAGGAGGAACACCGGUGGCGAAGGCGGGAUCCGUGGGCCAGUACUGACGCUGAGGAGCGGAAAGCGUGGGGAGCAACAGG